AUUGAACGCUGGCGGCAUGCCUUACACAUGCAAGUCGAACGGUAACGGGCCUUCGGGUGCCGACGAGUGGCGAACGGGGUGAGUAAUGCAUCGGAACGUACCUUUCAGUGGGGGAUAACGUAGCGAAAGUUACGCUAAUACCGCAUAUUCUGUGAGCAGGAAAGCAGGGGAUCGCAAGACCUUGCGCUGAUUGAGCGGCCGAUGUCAGAUUAGCUAGUUGGUGAGGUAAAGGCUCACCAAGGCGACGAUCUGUAGCGGGUCUGAGAGGAUGAUCCGCCACACUGGAACUGAGACACGGUCCAGACUCCUACGGGAGGCAGCAGUGGGGAAUUUUGGACAAAUGGGGGCAACCCUGAUCCAGCCAUGCCGCGUGAGUGAAGAAGGCCUGGUGUAAG
rnacentral:rRNA from 1 species